GAUGAAGAACGUAGCGAAAUGCGAUAAGUAAUGUGAAUUGCAGAAUUCAGUGAAUCAUCGAGUCUUUGAACGCACAUUGCGCCCCCUGGUAUUCCGGGGGGCAUGCCUGUCCGAGCGUCAUUGCUGCCCUCAAGCACGGCUUGUGUGUUGGGCCUCCGUCCCCCUCCCGGGGGACGGGCCCGAAAGGCAGCGGCGGCACCGCGUCCGGUCCUCGAGCGUAUGGGGCUUCGUCACCCGCUCUUGUAGGCCCGGCCGGCGCUUGCCGACACAUCAAUCUUUUUUCCAGGUUGACCUCGGAUCAGGUAGGGAUACCCGCUGAACUUAAGCAUAUCAAUAAGCGGAGGA
rnacentral:misc_RNA from 1 species